GCCUUCGUGGUGCAACGGUAGCACACUCGGCUCGUAUUCGCGAGGUCUAAGUUCGAAUCCCAGCAAGGGCA
rnacentral:tRNA from 1 species